rnacentral:rRNA from 1 species
UACGUAGGGUGCAAGCGUUAAUCGGAAUUACUGGGCGUAAAGCGUGCGCAGGCGGUUUUGUAAGUCUGUCGUGAAAUCCCCCGGGCUCAACCUGGGAAUUGCGAUGGAGACUGCAAGGCUAGAAUCUGGCAGAGGGGGGUAGAAUUCCACGUGUGAGCAGUGAAAUGCGUAGAGAUGUGGAGGAAUACCGAUGGCGAAGGCAGCCCCCUGGGUCAAUACUGACGCUCCAUGCACGAAAGCGUGGGGAGCAAACAGGAUUAGAGU